rnacentral:misc_RNA from 1 species
CAAACGAAGAAAAACCGACUUCAAUUAUAUCGACAAGUAAUACAACGUAGGUAGACGAAAAAAUAAUCAAGUAAAUACGCAUUAUCAAAGAUUACUCCAAAAGUUAUCCCAUCAUCAGAUCCUGGUUUCCUUAUCAUGGUACCAAACUAGGGAUAUCUCCUUUCCAACAAAAAAGAAUUAUCAAAAUCGGUUCAUAAACGACGGAGUUACC